rnacentral:rRNA from 1 species
AUUGAACGCUGGCGGCAUGCUUUACACAUGCAAGUCGAACGGUAACAGGCCGCAAGGUGCUGACGAGUGGCGAACGGGUGAGUAAUGCAUCGGAACGUGCCCAGUCGUGGGGGAUAACGCAGCGAAAGCUGUGCUAAUACCGCAUACGAUCUAUGGAUGAAAGCGGGGGAACGUAAGGCCUCGCGCGAUUGGAGCGGCCGAUGUCAGAUUAGGUAGUUGGUGGGGUAAAGGCCCACCAAGCCAACGAUCUGUAGCUGGUCUGAGAGGACGACCAGCCACACUGGGACUGAGACACGGCCCAGACUCCUACGGGAGGCAGCAGUGGGGAAUUUUGGACAAUGGGCGCAAGCCUGAUCCAGCAAUGCCGCGUGCAGGAAGAAGGCCUUCGGGUUGUAAACUGCUUUUGUACGGAACGAAACGGUCUGGGUUAAUACCUUGGGCUAAUGACGGUACCGUAAGAAUAAGCACCGGCUAACUACGUGCCAGCCGCCGCAGUAA